rnacentral:rRNA from 1 species
UACGUAGGGUGCAAGCGUUGUCCGGAAUUAUUGGGCGUAAAGAGCUCGUAGGCGGUCUGUCGCGUCGGCUGUGAAAUCCCGAGGCUCAACCUCGGGUCUGCAGUCGAUACGGGCAAACUAGAGUAUUGCAGGGGAGACUGGAAUUCCUGGUGUAGCGGUGAAAUGCGCAGAUAUCAGGAGGAACACCGGUGGCGAAGGCGGGUCUCUGGGCAGUAACUGACGCUGGAGGAGCGAAAGCGUGGGGAGCAAACAGG